UACGGAGGGUGCAAGCGUUGUCCGGAUUUAUUGGGUUUAAAGGGUGCGUAGGCGGUUCUUUAAGUCCGGGGUGAAAGCCCACUGCUCAACAGUGGAACUGCCCUGGAAACUGGAGAACUUGAGUACAGACGAGGGCGGCGGAAUGGAUGGUGUAGCGGUGAAAUGCAUAGAUACCAUCCAGAACCCCGAUUGCGAAGGCAGCUGCCUAGACUGUAACUGACGCUGAGGCACGAAAGCGUGGGGAGCGAACAGG
rnacentral:rRNA from 1 species